UGGGGAAUCUUGGACAAUGGGCGCAAGCCUGAUCCAGCCAUGCCGCGUGAGUGAAGAAGGCCUUCGGGUUGUAAAGCUCUUUUACCAGGGACGAUAAUGACGGUACCUGGAGAAUAAGCUCCGGCUAACUUCGUGCCAGCAGCCGCGGUAAUACGAAGGGAGCUAGCGUUGUUCGGAAUCACUGGGCGUAAAGCGCACGUAGGUGGGCAGUUAAGUCAGGGGUGAAAGCCCGAGGCUCAACCUCGGAAUUGCCUCUGAUACUGGCUGUCUAGAGUUCGAGAGAGGUGAGCGGAAUUCCUAGUGUAGAGGUGAAAUUCGUAGAUAUUAGGAAGAACACCGGUGGCGAAGGCGGCUCACUGGCUCGAUACUGACGCUGAGGCACGAAAGCGUGGGGAGCAAACAGGAUUAGAUACCCCAGUAGUCCCUGAGCGGGCUGGCAAGGCGCAU
rnacentral:rRNA from 1 species